GCCGUAUUAAGACAUGGAACUUUAUCAUAAGGGCAAUGAGAAGUAAAUGAAAGAUUCUGAGCAAAGAAAAAUAUGGCCUUUGAGGUUAUCAUCUCAUCAAAUCUUCACAACAACCCUGCAUACUAUGAAAUUCUUGAUGACAGAGACUCAGUAUUAUUCAUCUUUCUGGCCUCAAGACUAAUAUACUGACCCUGAAAGAAAUAGGUACUCAAUUAAUAUUUGGUGGUCUGUGCCCUCCUGUUGGCCCAGUUUCUUCCCAGCGUUGUUCCUGAUUGAGACUGUAUGCUGGGUUUUGGAAAGCCCUGCUUUUUGUUAAUUGUUCAAACAAACCCUCUCUAAUAGCAGCACGUGUAAAAGAAGACUUUAGAAUUUAAUUUAUUCCAGUGUAAUGAGGCUGCCAAAAAGAGAUCAAGCUUAAUGGGUUCCAGCAUGAGUGUGCAGUUUCAGAAAUGAAGUUCCACUUCAAUUCACAAGUUAUUAUCUACUUUCAUUAAUGGAAUUGGAAAAGAGAGAGUGGAAAAGAGAUAAAGAAUGAGGAAGAAGAGAGAGAUGAGAGAGUGGGAGGAAGAAAAAAAUAAAGAAAAUAAAAGACCAGGAUGAAAGAAAAAAAAGUCGACCAAAUGGAAAAGAAAAAGUCAGACUAAGUGUAAAUAGGAAGCAGAAAGGAUCUUUCCCCUACUGUGCUGGUCUUGGGAGCUACACUGAAGGUAGUGCAACCACACGGAAGAAGGAGGCAGAAUCAGCAGUUUGAGAGCAGCAGUAAGAACACUGUUUAGACUUGAGACAUGGAAGAAGACUGACCUGGUCCCUGCAAUCCCAGGAGACUGUCAAGUUCCCCCAACCCUUUAAAGCCCUUCGCUAGUGGUUAUGGAAAGAGACAGAGCUACAUUCUACUCCUGGAUAAUCACUAGUUAAUGGUGUGAGGUUGGAAGGCCAAUGCAAUUUGAGAAGUACUUCUUGAGUACCUACCACGUAUUUGUCAUCAUGCUAAACACUAAAUAUUCAAAGGUUAAGGCUCUACCUUGAAGAAGAUAUGAGUCUAAAGGGAGAAGAAUCAGCAUGUUUGUAACUACAGUGGAACUCCCACACCAGAAGAAUGGACAGAAGCUAUGGAAGUACAGAGGAGGGAUCAUUUAGACUGAGGAGGAGCCAUUUGAAUUGGGCCUUAAAGGCAAAUAACCAAUAUCCAGGAUCUUCUUUUGCUAAGAGUUUCCAACUCUACUGUAGCCAGGAAAAUAUCUCCAUCCUCCUGCAUGCGACAGCCCCAGAAGUGUGCAUGUGUAGACACCAAGUAGGUCCUCUGGAAACCAAGAGAUAUGGAAAGAUCCAGGAAUAGCAGAGCUGGUCUAGGAACGUGGAAGAGUAAGAGAAUGAGAUUGUGUUUCAUUGAGCAUCCUACAGUAACCGCUGCCAGAGUGCAUCUCCUUCCAUACAUGGUCCCUCGCCAGCUGUAAGCUUUCGUGAGGAUGGCAAGUUUUGUCCCGAAGCCUUUGGCAAAGUGGAAUAAGCCUAGGAGCACCACUAAAGCACGAACACCCUGCUGGGGUGAAGAUGAAUGGAAACACAACUAGGAAAUAUUUCACAACCAGGUGUGAAUAGAUGGAAAAAGGAAAGAAAAUAUUUCUAUCAUUGAAUGAUUUACACUAGAUUUAGACCAAGACUCAUAGCUAAGUGCAGGAAUCAGCAGGAAGUCACAGGUGAAAGAACAAAUAGAGUAUUUUCUUUCUUUAAACACUGUGUACUUUUAAAUCAGAU
ensembl:lncRNA